AGAGUUUGAUUCUGGCUCAGAACGAACGGUAGCGGCGUGGAUUAGGCAUGCAAGUCGUACGUGAUCCUCGCUUCGGUGAGGUGAAAGUGGCGAACGGGUGAGUAAUGCAUAGCUAACCUACCCCCGGCUCGGGGAUAACCAGGAGAAAUCUUGGCUAAUACCCGAUAGGCUCGCGGAAUUGCAUGUUUCUGCGAGUAAAGACGGCCUCUUAACAAUGCUGUCAGCCGAGGACGGGACUAUGUCCUAUCAGCUAGUUGGUAGGGUAAUGGCCUACCAAGGCGAUGACGGGUAGCCGACCUGAGAGGGUGACCGGCCACACUGGGACUGAGACACUGCCCAGACUCCUACGGGAGGCUGCAGUCGAGAAUCUUCCGCAAUGGGGGAAACCCUGACGGAGCGACGCCGCGUGCGGGAUGAAGGCCUUCGGGUUGUAAACCGCUGUCACGGAUUAUGAAGGGCCUGGUAUUAAUCAUACUUGGCUUUGACAAAGGUCCGGGAGGAAGCCACGGCUAACUCUGUGCCAGCAGCCGCGGUAAGACAGAGGUGGCGACCGUUGUUCGGAAUCACUGGGCAUAAAGCGCGUGUAGGCGGCAUUGUAAGUCGGGUGUGAAAUCCCUCGGCCUAACCGAGGAAUUGCGCUCGAAACUACUUUGCUUGAGGAUCAGAGGGGAGCCUGGAAUUCCUGGUGGAGCGGUGAAAUGCGUUGAUAUCAGGAGGAACACCGGCGGCGAAGGCGAGGCUCUGGCUGAUUUCUGACGCUGAGACGCGAAAGCUAGGGGAGCAAACGGGAUUAGAUACCCCGGUAGUCCUAGCCGUAAACGAUGGGUACUAGGUAGGGGGGCACCCAAUGCCUCCCUGCUGGAGCAAAUGUAUUAAGUACCCCGCCUGGGGAGUAUAGUCGCAAGGCUGAAACUCAAAGGAAUUGACGG
rnacentral:rRNA from 1 species